rnacentral:rRNA from 1 species
GUGGGGAAUAUUGCUCAAUGGGGGAAACCCUGAUGCAGCAACGCCGCGUGAGUGAUGACGGUCUUCGGAUUGUAAAGCUCUGUCUUCAGGGACGAUAAUGACGGUACCUGAGGAGGAAGCCACGGCUAACUACGUGCCAGCAGCCGCGGUAAUACGUAGGUGGCAAGCGUUGUCCGGAUUUACUGGGCGUAAAGGGAGCGUAGGUGGAUAUUUAAGUGGGAUGUGAAAUACUCGGGCUUAACCUGGGUGCUGCAUUCCAAACUGGAUAUCUAGAGUGCAGGAGAGGAAAGUAGAAUUCCUAGUGUAGCGGUGAAAUGCGUAGAGAUUAGGAAGAAUACCAGUGGCGAAGGCGACUUUCUGGACUGUAACUGACACUGAGGCUCGAAAGCGUGGGGAGCAAACAGGAUUAGAAACCCGGGUAGUCC